rnacentral:tRNA from 1 species
GCCCACGUAGCUCAGUUGGUAGAGCGCAUCCUUGGUAAGGAUGAGGUCACCGGUUCGAUUCCGGUCGUGGGCUCCA